rnacentral:rRNA from 1 species
GACGAACGCUGGCGGCGUGCUUAACACAUGCAAGUCGAACGGAAAGGCCCUGCUUGCAGGGUACUCGAGUGGCGAACGGGUGAGUAACACGUGGGUGAUCUGCCCUGCACUUCGGGAUAAGCCUGGGAAACUGGGUCUAAUACCGGAUAGGAGCCAUUUUUAGUGUGAUGGUUGGAAAGUUUUUUCGGUGUAGGAUGAGCUCGCGGCCUAUCAGCUUGUUGGUGGGGUAAUGGCCUACCAAGGCGGCGACGGGUAGUCGGCCUGAGAGGGUGGACGGCCACAUUGGGACUGAGAUACGGCCCAGACUCCUACGGGAGGCAGCAGUGGGGAAUAUUGCACAAUGGGCGCAAGCCUGAUGCAGCGACGCCGCGUGGGGGAUGACGGCCUUCGGGUUGUAAACUCCUUUCGCUAGGGACGAAGCUUUUGGUGACGGUACCUAGAUAAGAAGCACCGGCUAACUAC